CAUGCCUGGGCUGCUCUCUCACAGCCCCUAGCUGCAGGUUAUAAAAGCUUCCAGCCAUAUUGUGCCUUGAGGCACACAGCACAGGGAGUUGUGUCCACAGUACAGGCAGCUGCCUGCAGCAGCCCACCAGGCCCCAUGUGCCUCCCUGGACAGAACCCAGGCAGCCUCUGCCCAUCCUGUCCCCUAGUUGGAGCUGCUCCUUGGCCACAGGCAGCCAGAAGACAAGUAUGCUGAAUGGCAGCCUGGGGAACCAGCAUAAUGGGGUGAAGAGGAUAAGAAAACUCUCAGAUGCUGCAGACCCAAAGAGAGGCACUCCCCAGACCUGCUUUCAUAUACAAGCUGCUGGAAGCCAGAAGAUUCCCACAAGAGGUCAAACCAAAAGCUCAUGAAGCCCUGCUCCUGACAGCGGCCCAUUCCCAGUUAUUAUAAUAAACCAUAGUUUAUGAUGCAUUUGGUCAGACACUGCAAUGAGUAGGAAAGGUUGGCUAAAGAGAUAUAUAUGGAGAGUAUUUUAAACCAUAGCUAUUUAAUACAGAGAGAAUUCUGCUGAACCUCAGCAUACAAGGAUAUGCUUUUCUGAUUAAACAGAAGCCACUUUAUUUCAUAAAUAUAAAUCAAGGGGGCCUUAUAUA